CGGCGUCCUUGCACCGUUUAGAAAGCUAAAGAUAAAGCCCGAUUCAGGCUGAACCCGAUAAUUCUGAUAUUGGGGAACAGGACAGGGCACCUUGCAGUCUGCUGCAUGUGUCAUAAAUUGGCCUAAGGAAACCGGCAAAUCCAAAGCACUGCGGCAAGGAGUUCAGCUUUUUGCCAUCGGGCUCCACGAAAAGGAGAAAGGUGGCCAACAAAUUAAAGCAAAUGGACAUGGCUUUACUGACUAAGCGGUGAUGUUCUUAAUAUACCAAAAAUCAUCCGGUUAAACUUUGGAUUCUACGGAUCGCGGGAAUUGCAACUUAGUGGAGAAUAUAUUAAUUAUGGUUGAAAAUCCGUCCAAAAUGAGCGCCCACGAAUUAAACUCACCAACUGAUAAGUAUUUUUCCUUUACAACAUAAGAAAUAGUUAGUUAGUUAAAUAUUAAAAAUAAUUAUCUCUGUUAGGAUUUAUUUCCAAAUUCAUAUAUGUAUGUAUGUAUGUUCAGUUAUCAAUGAUGAGACGCCCCAUUGUAAGAAUUGAAAUCCACAUAAUCACUUUAUGUUUUAGUUAUAUUUUAUUUCAAACACUCCACUCGCACUGACGAAACCCUCUUAAUAUAUACAAAUACAUAACAUAAGUAGGUCUAGAGAUAUUUAUAAACAUUAGCUGACAUUUUUAUGUGCAUUAUUUCGUUGCAGACACGCAAAAAAAAAAAAAAAAAACAGUGGGCGAAGAAACAAACUAGACUUCAUAUGUUCAGAUGGAUAUUCAUGACAUGAUCACUUUUUGAAGCAGAUCUUGAGUAUUCGGAUGACGGGCGCCUCGAAGAAUGCGGAUAUGACAAAGGCCGAGCAGAAGGACACGACGGCAUUG